rnacentral:rRNA from 1 species
UACGUAGGGUGCAAGCGUUGUCCGGAAUUAUUGGGCGUAAAGAGCUCGUAGGCGGUUUGUUGCGUCGGCUGUGAAAUCCCGAGGCUCAACCUCGGGUCUGCAGUCGAUACGAGCAAACUAGAGUGUUGCAGGGGAGACUGGAAUUCCUGGUGUAGCGGUGGAAUGCGUAGAGAUCCGGAAGAACACCGGUGGCGAAGGCGGCCCGCUGGGGUGGAGCUGGACGCUGAGGCGCGACAGCGUGGGGAGCAAACAGG